CGCCCAUGAAGUGAAAAAAUAUGAACCUUCCAAAGCUAACACAGUCAAUACAUGGUAUAUCUUCAACAUUUUCACAUCAAAUAUGAAAUUGAGAAACAUUUGAAAGCACCACAGAAUGUACUUGAUGACAUACAUGCACCAUGUAGGUCAGAGGCGGAUUUGGCGGGGGGGGGGGGGGGAGGGGGACCGGACCCCCCCUUUUUGGAAACAAUUUGGUUCUUAUAUAGGGAAUCAUUGAAGCGGCUGGAGCGGCCCCUCUUAGGUCAGUCAGUGGGCCCCCACUUAUGCAAUUUUCUGGAUCCGCCACUGUAGGUGUACACUUGCAUCUUGAGUGCACAAAUACAUUCAAAUUUCACACAAGUAAUAGCUUUUCAAAAAGCCAGCCGUCUCUUAGCUGUGUUAAAAUAUAUAUGAAGGCUAGUACAAUUUUUCCUAAUUCAGGAAUGUUUUUUGGGAUAAUUUACCAACACUGGAUUAGAAGUAGCGAUGCCUUAACUCUUUUUUUUAAUUAAAUAUGAAAAUAUUUAUAACUUAAAGUAUAUUUUAAAUGUAGCUCCCUCAUGCAAAGCUCUGAUUCCUUUCACGGAUUGGCUAUACUUUUUUACCUUUUGGAGUAUAGCUCUUCAUCUUUUUAUAUAAGCUUUGGAUUUCAAAUAUUUGCCACGGCAUCACUGAGAGACAUGUAUUUCAAAUGCGCAUCUGUGCAAGAAAAUUGUACUGUUAAUUUUAUUAAACAUUGCUCUGGGAUAAUUAUUUUUUUGCCAGUAUUUUAACUCUGUAUAGCUGUAUAAUUGUAGAUUGUAAUAUUAAAGCAUACAUAUGACACUCAUUGAUGUACUUGAAAUACUACAUGUAUGCAUUAAAAAGCUAAACAAAAAAUCACAUAAAUGUUCAGUGUGUAUAUGUUACAGUGAAUUUGUAUAAUAGGGAUUAUGUAGAAUCCCUGAUUUUUCAGGAUAUGUAGAAUCAAGAAACCAUUAAUUAUAUAUAAUCCUAAAAAUGACCAGUGAUUUUACUAAUCACUGAACAUUUAAUAAUUAUUCUACAUAUUCCCUAAUAUGAUUUCAGGGAUUAUAAUAAUUUAAGGAACCUUUGUUUUUUAAAAAAUUAAUAUAGACAAAUUAUAAUUUUUUUCUUUCAUAUUCUUGCAGAUGAAAUAAUUUUGCUUUAAAACACAGAGGAUAAUAACAGAUUAUAACCAACAAGGAUUUCGAAUUAAGUUGAAGACUUCAAAAUUAAUAAUAAUAACUUCCUUUUAUAGCGAUAACUUGUUGCUUAAAAGCCAGCGUUAAAUGGAUAUUCAAGUUCUAUUUGUAAAUCUAAAGAGCUUGUUAUUUGUAGCAAAGAAGAUAAUGGAACUUUUUUUUUUUUUUUUUUUGGUCAAAUGAACAAGAAAAACAACUGAGAAACUUACGCAUCUAAAUGUCAUGAUGAUAAAACAGGCAGAACUAAGGACUGAUAAAUAAUUUUUUUAGAGGAAGCUGGCAAUUGGUGUAAUAUUUUCAUAACAAAUCCGAAGGGAAAAAAGGAAAGGGAAACCCAAAAAACAUAAUCAUUGGCAAUUGUUCACAAAAAUUCUGAAAAAGAAUAUUGUCUGGCCACUAAACAUGGUAUUUUGCGCGAACAGAUUUGAGGUUGCUUAUUUCCUUUUUUUCGGGAUACCUUGAAAUGGUUUUACUGAACACUUUAUUUUUCUUGGGUGUGUCGAAAAAUUUGAUCCGAUCUGUGAAGGAAAAAGUUUUUUAAAAUGUGGAUAUUGUGAUAGAAACAGAUGUGAAGCAUAUUAUUUUAAUAUAUUGUGUUUAACAUUUUAAAAUAUUGUGCCUAACAUUUUAAAAUAUUGUGCCUAACAUUUUUAAAAAUGGGGAUUUCAUUUUAAUAUUUUGUGCUUAACAUUUUACAAGUUUAUGUUUAUAAUGAUGUUUUAAUAUGAUUUUGUAGAAUAAAUUAUUUGACUUUAAUUCAUUUUUUUAUAAAUAAAACUAUUUCUUCAAUUCAGUUAUUAUGUAUAAUCCCUGACGUUUUUUCUAGUGAUUAUACAUAAUCCCUGAAAAUAUUAGUGGUUAUACAUAAUCCCUAAACUAGACAGUGAUUCUACAUAAUCCCUGAAAAUUUCAGGGAUUCUACAUAAUCACUGAUUAUACAAAUUCACUGUAUAUAUAUAUGUCUGACAUGAUGACUCACCUAUCACACAUAAGAAACAAAGUGAAAUAUAGUUUUUUUAAAUACAAUGUAUUAGUAGAAAUUGACAGUAGAGUUCUAGUUAAUCUAUAUUAAUUAAUAUUUGACAACACUACAUGUAGUUUUAUUAUGGAUUUUUGUAUAAUUUCAGGUUCUGAAAAAAUCACAGGGGAUGAUAAAUUUAGACAAGAAGGAUCGACCCACCAACAUGCUACACUUACUGGAACUUGAAAAACCUGCAAUUCACAAGAACAAGCCAAAGACUAGUAUUACCGUACAAAGUGGUUGAGGGUAUGGUCCCAGCUAUCCAAACCUGACAAAUUAUUGGUAACAAGCAAUCUUUACCAAAAAGGAACAUCAAGCCGACAUGCUUUGCAGACUUUGAAAGUGAUAAUUUAUAAAUUUGGUUAAGGCUAUUGAAACAACAAACUGUGAAAACGAGCAAUUUAAAAACACAUUCUUCGUCAAAACUGUGAUUCAUUGAAAGAAGACGUAGUGUGCGCCAAGUCAGUUGAGAGCUUCAAAACAGCUCACCAAGGCCGUCAAUAGGAGUCCGCUCUCCCGUCAAGUUCAAGCCAGAAUUGGGACCUUCGAUGUAACAAUGCAGAUACAUAUAGCAUGAAAAGUUUUAUAUAAUGAACAUUUAUAUUUAUAUCUAUUGAUGUUUCAGUACAAGUAUGAUUAUUUGUUUUUGUUGUGAUCUAUGACAUACAUGUAUAGUAUAAACAAUUUUGAGAAAGUGUUAUCUGUAUACAUGACAGUUCCGUGAAAAUGUUAACCAACUUUUGUGUCAACUUAUUCAUUCAUCUAAAAACUGAUACAAGCCAAUAUUAGAAUUCAAUAGAUUAAGACUAUAAAAUCAGUUCAUGAUUUGACCUAGGCCUGUUCAAGUUUAUUAAGGUCAAAAUAAGAUAAAACAAAGUUUCAUAAUAUAAAAUAUCAAUGUAGGAGCAAACGGUGAAAAUGAUUUAGAUCCUAGUG
rnacentral:lncRNA from 1 species